UGUAUGAAAAUAAAGAUAUACUAGUAGAUGUGUUAAUACAUGUCUUGGGCACUGAUCCCGAUCAAAUGGGGCAAAAAAAUACUAAAGAAUUGAGGGAAUAAUAUUUUUGUAGAUGAAUGUACGACACACAAACACACACGGAUCACCACUCUCAAUCAUAGAUUAAAAAAUCAAGGUUAGAUUCUUUCUCCCACAACACACACGGAUCACCACUCUCAACCAUAGAUUAAAAAAAUGAAUGGUUAGAUUCUUUCUCCCACAACACACACAGAUCACCAAUCUGAACCAUAGAUUAAAAAAUCAAUGGUUAGAUUUACAUGAAACCCUUUUGAAACCCUUUCACUCUCACUCUCACUUUACCACUCUCACUGUACCACACACGGCGCCUCUCAUUCUCACGCCACCUCUCAUCGCCUCUCCGUCUCACGGCGCCUCUCGUUCUCAUCGGUGUUUGAUGCCCUAAAUCUCCAAAUUCAGGGAACAAUUUCAUCAGGUUUUUUAUGUUGCAAGAACUGAUAAACAUUGAAAGUCUGCUUUGUAUUUUUGGAUUUGAUAUUCUGGGGUGAAUUGGUGAUCCUUAGUGUAUCUUUGUGGCAUAUAUCCAUAUGGGAUUUCUACGGUGAAAGGAAUUGAUGUUAGCUUUCAAUGAUGCAAACAAGUAUUUUUCAAUGUUAGCUCUUCUGUUCUGCUGCUGCUGUUCUGCUGUGAUUGCUCUGUGCUGCUACUGCUUUGUUGAUCUGCUGCUACUGUGUUGCUGUUCUGCUGCUACUGCUUUGCUGUUCUGCUGCUACUGCUCUGCUGUUCUGCUGGAUCUGCUAUUCUGCUGCCUGCUUCAGCUGCUGCCUGCUGUUCAUCUGCCUGCUCAAGGCUGUAAUGUUGUUGAUCAUGUUAUGUUUAAGUAGUUCUGUUAAAACUUGUUUAAUUUAAGUUUGUAUGGAUUGAUUGGUUUGAUUUGAUACUUUGUUAGUUUGUUGUUUAAACUGAAAACUUAAGUUUGUAUGAUUUGGAUUGGUUUGUACUUUGUAUGAAUUGGACUAAAUUUGUUUACUGUUAUUUUGUUAAUUUGCA